UCUCUCCCCCAGGGGCCUUAUCAGAACUGGAGAGCUUCAUCCUGGGAGCCAAGUUGGCUCACAGGCAGCGAUGCUGUUACACCAGUCAUCACAGGUGCACCGACCUCUGCACGCCCAGUCACACUGGACGCCUGGUCUCCUUACUCUUGAAUUGAUUUCCGUCAGGUCUCCUGGCCUCAGUGAUGGAAUUAAGAUGACUUCUAUCUCUGAAUCCAAGGGUGACUGAAAGCCACAAGCUGCAGAAAGGACAAGAGGCAUCACCUAUGUGGAUAAAGACAGCAUUCUGAGUUGAUGGGGAAAUGGCAUAGAAGGAACCAGGUCCUUUGAUGACAUCAUGGAGCAGAGCUGUCUUCUUGCCUUGACCUGCCACCUACCUACAUGGGAAGCUGUUACUUGAGAAGGCAAUAAAAUCUAUCUUCUUUAUUGA